UGCAUUCACUACUGUAAAUCGCUCUGGAUAAGAGCGUCUGCUAAAUGACUAAAU
rfam:Salmo salar isolate Sally breed double haploid chromosome ssa16, whole genome shotgun sequence.